GAUGAACGCUGGCUACAGGCUUAACACAUGCAAGUCGAGGGGAAACGCCGGGGAAGCUUGCUUCCCCGGGCGUCGACCGGCGCACGGGUGAGUAACGCGUAUCCAACCUGCCUCUGACUGAGGGAUAACCCGUCGAAAGUCGGCCUAAUACCUCAUGGUAUCGUCUGCGGGCAUCCAACGACGAUUAAAGAUUUCAUCGGUCAGGGAAGGGGAUGCGUCUGAUUAGCUUGUUGGCGAGGUAACGGCCCACCAAGGCUACGAUCAGUAGGGGUUCUGAGAGGAAGGUCCCCCACAUUGGAACUGAGACACGGUCCAAACUGCUACGGGAGGCAGCAGUGAGGAAUAUUGGGCAAUGGGCGAGAGCCUGAACCAGCCAAGUAGCGUGCAGGAAGACGGCCCUAUGGGUUGUAAGCUGCUUUUAUGCGGGGAUAAAGUGAGGGACGGGUCCCUCAUUGCAGGUACCGAAUGAAUAAGGACCGGCUAAUUCCGUG
rnacentral:rRNA from 1 species